rnacentral:rRNA from 1 species
GACAGAGGGAGCUAGUGUUGUUCGGAAUGACUGGGCGUAAAGGGUGCGCAGGCGGUCACUUAAGUAAGAUGUUAAAGCCCCAGGCUUAACCUGGGAAUCGCGUUUUAUACUGAGUGACUAGAGUAUGAGAGAGGAAAGCGGAAUUCCUAGUGUAGAGGUGAAAUUCGUAGAUAUUAGGAGGAAUACCGGAGGCGAAGGCGGCUUUCUGGAUCAUUACUGACGCUGAGGCACGAAAGCGUGGGGAGCAAACAGG